rnacentral:sRNA from 1 species
CGCAGAGGAUCAAAGUCUAAGAACGCCGCGUCCUGAGGCAACAUCUUUGUGCCCCCCAUCCUGGGGU